GCCCAGGUGGUGGAAUUGGUAGACACGCAUGAUUCAGGUUCAUGUGCCGCGAGGUGUGGGGGUUCGAGUCCCCCCCUGGGCACCA
rnacentral:tRNA from 2 species